UUACAUGUUUAAUGAAACAAUUUGCUUGUGGCAGUUGCUGACUUUUGAAAGAAUGGGGAAGUUUACCGCAUUUAUGAUGAGCUUGGAUGAGGGCCACGUAUACCUAAAACAGUAAGAACAGGGAGCACCACAGAGAUCACACACAGAGGUGAAGGCACAGUGAAAGGUCAUGAAGUUUCAUAAGUUCCUAACAUGCCCUAAGAAGAAAGAAAGUCAUACAGGUUUGGAAGAACAUGACGGAGAAAGACAGGUUUGGAACGACGUGAAGGUGAGUCAAUGACUGAAUUUUCAUUUUUGGGUGUGGGUCACAGUUCAAUUAGUUUAACAGGGUUAUAUGCACUCUAAAACGUCCAUACAUUAUACUGCUAAACUCAUCCAUGCAUUGAAAAGCUCACAGACCUCCAUUAUCACAGGCCUAGAGUUGUCAAACGUAAACCAUACUUUUGUAAAAUCAUCCAUUUUAAAACUGAAAGGUCUUGGUAAAUCCACUCUCAUAAACCACA